rnacentral:rRNA from 1 species
CCAAUAGCGUAUAUUAAAGUUGUUGCAGUUAAAAAGCUCGUAGUUGAACUUCGGGGUCUACCCAUUGGUCAGGCUUAAUUGUCUGUACUGGUGAGAUGGACCCCUACCUUCUGAGGAACUUUCAUGCCAUUUAUUUGGUGUGGUUGGAAAUCAGGACUGUUACUUUGAAAAAAUUAGAGUGUUUAAAGCAGACUAUCGUCUGAAUACAUUAGCAUGGAAUAAUGAAAUAGGACGGACUGAUUCUAUUUCGUUGGUUUCUAGGAUCACCGUAAUGAUUAAUAGGGAUAGUUGGGGGCAUUAGUAUUCAAUUGUCAGAGGUGAAAUUCUUGGAUUUAUUGAAGACUAACUACUGCGAAAGCAUUUGCCAAGGAUGUUUUCAUUAAUCAAGAACGAAAGUUAGGGGAUCGAAGACGAUCAGAUACCGUCGUAGUCUUAACCAUAAACUAUGCCGACUAGGGAUCGGACGAAGUUAAUUUUAUAAUGACGCGUUCGGCACCUUACG